rnacentral:rRNA from 1 species
UACAGAGGGUGCGAGCGUUAAUCGGAAUUACUGGGCGUAAAGCGUGCGUAGACGGUUAUUUAAGUCGGGUGUGAAAGCCCCGGGCUCAACCUGGGAAUUGCAUUCGAGACUGAAUAGCUAGGGUACGGUAGAGGGAAGCGGAAUUUCCGGUGUAGCGGUGAAAUGCGUAGAUAUCGGAAGGAACAUCAGUGGCGAAAGCGGCUUCCUGGACCAGUACCGACGUCAGGCACGAAAGCGUGGGGAGCAA